GGCAGACGGCUCAGUAACACGUAGUCAAUCUACCCUAUGGACGAGGAUAACCUCGGGAAACUGAGAAUAAUACUCGAUAGAUCAUUAUGCCUGGAAUGGUUUAUGGUCGAAAUGAUUUAUCGCCGUAGGAUGGGACUGCGGUCUAUCAGCUUGUUGGUGAGGUAAUGGCCCACCAAGGCUAUAACAGAUACGGGCUCUGAGAGGAGAAGCCCGGAGAUGGGUACUGAGACACGGACCCAGGCCCUAUGGGGCGCAGCAGGCGAGAAAACUUUGCAAUGUGCGAAAGCACGACAAGGUUAAUCCGAGUGUUUUCUGCUAAAGAAAUCUUUUGUCAGUCCUAAAAACACUGAUGAAUAAGGGGUGGGCAAGUUCUGGUGUCAGCCGCCGCGGUAAAACCAGCACCUCAAGUGGUCAGGAGGAUUAUUGGGCCUAAAGCAUCCGUAGCCGGCUCUGUAAGUUUUCGGUUAAAUCUAUACGCUCAACGUAUAGGCUGCCGGGAAUACUGCAAAGCUAGGGAGUGGGAGAGGUAGACGGUACUCGGUAGGAAGGGGUAAAAUCCUUUGAUCUAUUGAUGACCACCUGUGGCGAAGGCGGUCUACUAGAACACGUCCGACGGUGAGGGAUGAAAGCUGGGGGAGCAAACCGGAUUAGAUACCCGGGUAGUCCCAGCUGUAAACUAUGCAAACUCAGUGAUGCACUGGCUUGUGGCCAGUGCAUGCCGCAGGGAAAGCCGUUAAGUUUGCCGCUGGGAAGUACGUACGCAAGUAUGAAACUUAAAGGAAUUGGCGGGGGAGCACCACAAGGGUGAAGCCUGCGGUUCAUUGGAUU
rnacentral:rRNA from 1 species